CAACCUUACAAACCUUUGUUGUGUUUGUCAGGUUUGGACUUGGAGGCUUUUUGCUGGCCUUGGUCAGCUCCUCUCAAAUUCAUUAGCUUGGUUCCUUGCGGAUCGGCUCUCGGUGUGAUAAAUUGUCUACGCUGUGGCCGUGAAACGUUUGGCAAGCUUCUAA
rnacentral:misc_RNA from 1 species